rnacentral:rRNA from 1 species
UCAAGAAACUUCCACAAUGGGCGAAAGCCUGAUGGAGCGACGUCGCGUGAUGGACGAAGUGCUUCGGCACGUAAACAUCUUUUAUGUGGGAUGAAAUUAUUGACAGUACCACAUGAAUAAGGGGCUCCUAACUCUGUGCCAGCAGGAGCGGUAAUACAGAGGCCCCAAGCGUUAUCCGGAAUCACUGGGCGUAAAGGGUGUCGAGGCGGUUGUAUUAGUCGUUCGUAAAAUCUACGAGCUUAACUUGUAGGCGGCGAACGAAACGGUACGACUUGAGGUUUGGAGAGGUGCGUGGAACUCACGGUGUAGGGGUGAAAUCCGUUGAUAUCGUGGGGAACACCAAAGGCGAAGGCAGCGCACUGGCCAAAAUCUGACGCUCACACACGAAAGCUAGGGUAGCGAAGAGGAUUAGAUACUCAGGUAGUCCCUGAGCGGGCUGGCAAGGCGCAU